CUGCCCAGCCUCAAUCCUGUUUCCUGAAAGAAGAAGAUAGUGUAGCAGGACACAGCAGUCUCCCUCUCAGUUCAGGAGGGCUGUCCUAACAAUAGGGAUGGCUCGUAAAGGCACGAGAGGACAAU
rnacentral:snoRNA from 1 species